rnacentral:rRNA from 1 species
AUGGCUCAGGAUGAACGCUAGCUACAGGCCUAACACAUGCAAGUCGAGGGGUAGCGUGAGGGAAGCUUGCUCCCUGACGACGACCGGCGAACGGGUGAGUCACGCGUGUCCAACCUGCCCCGUGCCCGGGGAUAGCCCUUGGAAAUGAGGAUUAAGACCCGAUAUGUGGCGCUUCCGCAUGGCGGCGCCAUGAAGCAGGCACGGGAUGGGACGCGUCGGAUUAGCUUGACGGCGGGGCAACGGCCCACCGUGGCGACGAUCCGCAGGGGUUCUGAGAGGAAGGUCCCCCACACUGGCACUGAGACACGGGCCAGACUCCUACGGGAGGCAGCAGUGAGGAAUAUUGGUCAAUGGGCGGGAGCCUGAACCAGCCCAAGUAGCGUGCAGGACGACGGCCCUACGGGUUGUAAACUGCUUUUCCGGGAGGAUAAAGUGAGCCACGCGUGGUUCAUUGCAGGUAUCCCGGGAAUAAGGACCGGCUAAUUCCGUGCCAGCCGCGGC